rnacentral:rRNA from 1 species
CAGUAGCCGCGGGAAUACGUAGGGUGCAAGCGUUAAUCGGAAUUAUUGGGCGUAAAGCGAGUGCAGACGGUUACUUAAGCCAGAUGUGAAAUCCCCAAGCUUAACUUGGGACGUGCAUUUGAAACUGGGUGACUAGAGUGUGUCAGAGGGAGGUAGAAUUCCACAUGUAGCGGUGGAAUGCGUAGAGAUGUGGAGGAAUACCGAUGGCGAAGGCAGCCUCCUGGGAUAACACUGACGUUGAGGCUCGAAAGCGUGGGGAGCAAACAGGAUUAGAUACCCGCGUAGUCCCUGUCUCUUAUAC